GGUGGGGGAGGGAAAAG
rnacentral:misc_RNA from 1 species